rnacentral:rRNA from 1 species
AGCGAACGCUGGCGGCAGGCUUAACACAUGCAAGUCGAGCGCCCCGCAAGGGGAGCGGCAGACGGGAGAGUAACACGUGGGAACAUACCUUUUGGUUCGGAACAACUGAGGGAAACUUCAGCUAAUACCGGAUAAGCCCUUACGGGGAAAGAUUUAUCGCCGAAAGAUUGGCCCGCGUCUGAUUAGCUAGUUGGUGAGGUAACGGCUCACCAAGGCGACGAUCAGUAGCUGGUCUGAGAGGAUGAUCAGCCUCACUGGGACUGAGACACGGCCCAGACUCCUACGGGAGGCAGCAGUGGGGAAUAUUGGACAAUGGGGGCAACCCUGAUCCAGCCAUGCCGCGUGAGUGAUGAAGGCCUUAGGGUUGUAAAGCUCUUUUGCCCGGGAAGGUAAUGACGGUACCGGGAGAAUAAGCCCCGGCUAACUUCGUG